GACGAACGCUGGCGGCGUGCUUAACACAUGCCAGUCGAACGGAAAGGCCCUGCUUUUGUGGGGUGCUCGAGUGGCGAACGGGUGAGUAACACGUGAGUAACCUGCCCUUGACUUUGGGAUAACUUCAGGAAACUGGGGCUAAUACCGGAUAGGAGCUCCUGCUGCAUGGUGGGGGUUGGAAAGUUUCGGCGGUUGGGGAUGGACUCGCGGCUUAUCAGCUUGUUGGUGGGGUAGUGGCUUACCAAGGCUUUGACGGGUAGCCGGCCUGAGAGGGUGACCGGCGACAUUGGGACUGAGAGACGGCGCAGACUCCUACGGGAGGCAGCAGUGGGGAGUAUUGCAGAAUGGGCGGAAGCCUGAUGUAGCAACGCCGCGUGCGGGAUGACGGCCUUCGGGUUGUAAACCGCUUUCGCCUGUGACGAAGCGUGAGUGACGGUAAUGGGUAAAGAAGCACCGGCUAACUACGUG
rnacentral:rRNA from 1 species